rnacentral:rRNA from 1 species
AUGGCGCGCGAGAAGGUGGCCAAGUGGAUACGAAAGCGUACCAUGUCGAGGAAGUCGGCAGGCAGGCACCGGAGCAAGGAGAGCGGUGCGUCCGAGCCGAUACUUCCAAUGAGCGGGAGCGGAAAUGGUGCCGGUGCGCUACCAGCGCAUUCGAAGUCUCGGGUGAGCGCCUUCCUGUCGAUGCUUAUGAGGUGGCGGCCGCGCGUGAACGUGCUGGCCGUGCUAUGCGAGCACGUGGUGUACCACCUGAUGUGGGUGGUGGAGUCUGUGGUGUUGGUUGGGAGGCUCUGCUUCUUCCUCAUGCGCUUCGGCUUCAAGCAGCUCUGA